rnacentral:rRNA from 1 species
UUGCCAGACUCCUACGGGAGGCAGCAGUGAGGAAUAUUGGUCAAUGGCCGCAGGGCUGAACCAGCCAAGUCGCGUGAGGGAUGACGGUCCUAUGGUUUGUAAACCUCUUUUGUCAGGGAGCAAAGGGCGCCACGUGUGGCGUUUUGCGAGUACCUGAAGAAAAAGCAUCGGCUAACUCCGUGCCAGCAGCCGCGGUAAUACGGAGGAUGCGAGCGUUAUCCGGAUUUAUUGGGUUUAAAGGGUGCGUAGGCGGAUUUUUAAGUCAGCGGUAAAAUGUCCGGGCUCAACCCGGGCCGGCCGUUGAAACUGGGGAUCUUGAGUGGGCGAGAAGUAUGCGGAAUGCGUGGUGUAGCGGUGAAAUGCAUAGAUAUCGCGCAGAACUCCGAUUGCGAAGGCAGCAUACCGGCGCCCGACUGACGCUGAGGCACGAAAGCGUGGGUAUCGAACAGGAUUAGAUACCCCGGUA